ensembl:lncRNA
AGAUUGCUUCAGUUAUUAACAUCAACCCCAAUUCAACUGGCUUCACUGGCAACUGCUGAACCCCAGACUGCUCAGCUUAGGCUGAACAGCAGCAUCAUUAAGUAUCUUGACUUUGUCUUUGCUGUGAAAAAUGAAAACCGAUUCUAUCUGAAGGAAGUGAAUGCCAGCAUAUAUUUGGCUAAUGGCUCUGUUUUCAGCAUUGCAAAUAACAACCUCAGCUACUGGGAUGCCCCCCGGGAAGUUCUUAUAUAUGCAACAAAGAGCAGACUCUUUCAGUGUCUGGAACAUUUCAGAUAAAUACCUUCAAUCUAAAGGUUCAGCCUUUCAAUGUGACAGAAGGAAAGUAUUCUACAGGUAAGGCUCAAGUAAACUUUAUUAAUACUUUAUGUUUGUACAUUGACCAAUUGGUGGCUUUUCUUUGAAUCAUGGUAAUUUAGACAUUGAAAUAGAGAAAUAAGAAUUCACCCUUUGACUCUGUAGAGUCCUCACAGCCUUGAGUGAGUUGUGUAACUCUGGCUUAUCAUUUUGCUCACACUAGAUGUUUUUGUGAUCUGAAAACCAACCUCAGGUUUAAGUGAGCUUACUUAAAAGCAUAGGUGCUUCUCCUAGGUUUGGAGGGACAGAUGGCAUUUUGAACAUCUUGGAUCUGCCUUCUUGGGUCCAUCUUCUUGCUAGAAAUAUUUUCAUACCUGAAUGAAAGUGAUUUGGUCUAAUUUUGUUGAGAUACAAGCUAGAAAUCAGGAGCAAAGCUUCAGAUACCGUGAACUAUGUUUUUGCCAGGAGAAAUGAUCUGGAGAUUCCUCAAAGCACAUGCUAGUGCAAAUGGGGCUUUUUGAAGAUCUACUCAGAGCUGCCAUUUGUGGUGGCACAUGUCUGUGAAUCCCAGCACUUGGGAGGCUGAGGCAGGAGGAUCUUCUUGAGUUUGAGGCCAGCCUGGGCUAUAUAGUGGGUUCAAGACAAGCCUGAACCUACAUAGUGAGACCCUGUCUCAAAACAAAAACAAUAAAAAAUAAAAAUAAUAAAAAUCUUAAAAAUGAAGGUCUACUCAUGGCUAUUUAUCAGAUUUUUAAUCAAACCUUUGUGAAUG